rnacentral:rRNA from 1 species
CCUACGGGUGGCAGCAGUGAGGAAUAUUGGUCAAUGGGCGGGAGCCUGAACCAGCCAAGUAGCGUGAAGGAUGAAUGCCCUAAGGGUUGUAAACUUCUUUUAUCUGGGAAUAAAGUGCAGUAUGUAUACUGCGUUGCAUGUACCUUAAGAAUAAGGAUCGGCUAACUCCGUGCCAGCAGCCGCGGUAAUACGGAGGAUCCGAGCGUUAUCCGGAUUUAUUGGGUUUAAAGGGAGCGUAGGCGGGUUGUUAAGUCAGUUGUGAAAGUUUGCGGCUCAACCGCAAGAUUGCCGUUGAUACUGGCAGCCUUGAGUACAGUAGAGGUAGGCGGAAUUCGCGGUGUAGCGGUGAAAUGCUUAGAUAUCGCGAAGAACUCCGAUUGCGAAGGCAGCCUGCUGGACUGUAACUGACGCUGAUGCACGAAAGUGUGGGUAUCAAACAGGAUUAGAUACCCGUGUAGUC